rnacentral:rRNA from 1 species
AUUGAACGCUGGCGGCAGGCCUAACACAUGCAAGUCGAACGAGCGGCGGACGGGUGAGUAAUGUCUGGGAAACUGCCCGAUGGAGGGGGAUAAAUACUGGGAACGGUGGCUCAUACCGCAUACCAUCGGAUGUGCCCAGAUGGGAUUAGCUUGUAGGUGAGGUAACGGCUCACCUAGGCGACGAUCCCUAACUGGUCUGAGAGGAUGAUCAGCCACACUGGAACUGAGACACGGUCCAGACUCCUACGGGAGGCAGCAGUGGGGAAUAUUGGACAAUGGGCGAAAGCCUGAUGCAGCCAUGCCGCGUGUGUGAAGAAGGUCUUCGGAUUGUAAAGCACUUUAAGUUGGGAGGCGUUACCAACAGAAUAAGCACCGGCUAACUUCGUGCCAGCAGCCGCGGUAAUAC